CCUACGGGAGGCAGCAGUGGGGGAUAUUGCACAAUGGGGGGAACCCUGAUGCAGCGACGCCGCGUGGGCGAUGGAGUGCCUCGGCAUGUAAAGCCCUAUCAGCAGGGAAGAAAAUGACGGUACCUGACCAAUAAGCCCUGGCCAAAUACGUGCAGGCAGCGGCGGUAAUACGCAGGGGGCCAGGGUUAUCCGGAUUUACUGGGUGUAAGGGGAGCGUAGGCGGGUUGGCAAGCCUGAUGUGAAAUUCCGGGGCCCAACCCUGGGGCUGCAUUGGGAACUGCCAGGCUGGAGUGCCGGAGAGGCAGGCGGAAUUCCUGGUGUAGCGGUGAAAUGCGUAGAUAUUAGGAGGAACACCAGUGGCGAAGGCGGCCUGCUGGACGGUGACUGACGCUGAGGCUCGAAAGCGUGGGGAGCAAACAGGAUUAGAUACCCUAGUAGUC
rnacentral:rRNA from 1 species